rnacentral:tRNA from 1 species
GCACCCGGGGCGCGAGUGGAUUGCGCGCUGGUUUCCGAAACCAGAGGUUCCAGGUUCGAGCCCUGGCGGGUGCA